ACCAUGGUGCUUGGAUCUGGUCUAACUCACAUUACUAAACCUCAAACCCUUCUAUUCUUCUUUAUAUAUAACUCCAUUUCUCCCCCACUUCUUCUACCAAUCAUUUUCUCAUUUAUCAAACCUCUCAAAACACUACUUAUUCCCAACCUCGCACGAAUCUCUCCUCAAACCUCUCCCCCGAAUAUCGAAAAAAUCUCGAAAAUUCGAUAAAUUUUGUAACAUGUUGAGCUCACUAGUCUGCGGAAGCGGGAGUUUCCAAGACGAAGAUGAUAUUGAACUUUCGGAGCUGCUCAGAUCAUGCUCCUCGUCCGCCAAAAAAACGUCGAAAAUUCUGGGAACCAGGCACAGCUUCAGCUCGAAAAGUAAGGACUCGAAGAACCCGUAUGCGGAUCGAGGGCUGGAUAAAUUUAGUGCACUUUUAGCGGAGCUGGAUUCGAAGAGACAGAAGAUUUACACUCAGAAAGGCUCUGAAGAUAUUUCUCUGCUCGGCUUUGCUUAUUCGAAUUCUUCGGAUUACAAGCCUAUUGUCGUUAGAGUGCGAGACAAGAAACCAAUCAAAACAUUGAUCAAAGCACCAGUGAAGCUGGCUGAUCGGAGUGAUUCUCAAGUUUCGAAAAAUGUUGUCGAAAAAUCUGAUUAUGAUUUGAAGCAAACGAGAGCAGAAUCGAAUCGUGUUGAUCAGAAAAAGGCGAGUCCCGAGAAAUUCAGACACGUGAGUGUCGAGUAUCUGACACGGCCUUCUUAUUAUGUUCCGGUGAUCAUAAUCUUGAUUCUGUUGUUCUUGGCUAUUUUUGGAAAGUCUUUUGCGAUUUUGUGUGUUUGUAUAGGAUGGUACAUCANGACCAAUUCGUUGCUUCAUGAGUACUCCGUCCGUCCCGCUAGAUUGAAUACAUUUGGUUUGGACACGGAAAUCAAGAAAAAGUGUAAAAAGUGAGUAAAGUGAGAUGAAAAAUGAGUAAAGUGGUGGGACUUAUUUAUAUUUAAUGAUAUAUUUGAGAUAUUAGAGGAAAAUAGUGGGUGUUUAUAUUAUUAUAGAAUGGAGAUAGUGGGAGAAAAAAGUGGAUGUGAUAGUGUUUUAUAUUAUUAAAAGUUACUAUAUUUGGAUAGUAUAGAAAUGAUGGUACAUUUCAAAAGGGAAACUGUAUAGAAUUGAUUGGGACGUGAUUGGGACGGAGGGAGUAUAUUUUUUUAUUCAAUUUAGCGGGCGUUGUAUCCACGCGUAGUAUUUACCUUCUUAAUCCGUUGCUUGUGCUUCAAUCCUAUGGGAAUCCCCUCCCUCUUAAAAAGUCAAACAAUCAUAAAAUAAUAAUAUAAUAAUAAUAACGUAGUAUGAGAAAAUAACUUUGGGUGAUCUGACCUAACAUUAUAAAUAUAGAUUAUAUUUUAGUUACUCAAGAGUGCAUUAUGUACAAUAACAUCCGUAUUUAUUUAUAUGAGAAAUAUUAAUAUCAGUUAAUAUUAUAUUAGUAUUAUAUGAAGUGUCAAUAUAGGAAGUGUUGUUUUUUUUUAAGAAAUAAGAGUUUAAUUUUUUGGAAAAUUAGUUAAAUAUGUAAUCUUCUGAGAAUAAAUACUUUUUUUGUUAAAUGAUGAACCUGUUUCUUAAUAUUCAUUUCUAAAAAAUAUAGGAUUUUUUUAAAUAUUCAUACUUUUAAAUUUAUUUUUAAAAAUACGGUCAAAUUGCAGAAAUUGCAAAACCUGUAAGAAACAAUUACUCUUCAUGUUAUUAGCAUUACAAAUAAGGUUAUAUAUAUGAUUUCACUCUGUUCUUAUAAAAAAAGGUUAUUGCUAACAUAUUUCGCAAAAGACCCUUGAAUAUAUAAACAUGUACUCCGUACUUUUUGGAAAAUAAAUAGUUAUUUUGACAACAAAUUUGGCCAAACAAGUUGAUGAUCUCAAAAAAGAUUUAGAGGGGUGUAUUGGAUUAGGAUUUUAAAGAUUUUUUUGCAUUUAUGAAAUCCGAGGGUAUUCGAUUGAGAUUAUUUGAAAUCCAUUGAAAUCUUGAGGUAUUCAAUUGAGAUUUUGAAUUAUGCUACAAAAUCUGGUGGUAUUCGAUUGAGAUUUUAAAUUAUGCUUUAAAAUCCGGUGGUAUUCUAUUGUGAUUGUUUAAAAUCCAUUAAAAUCUGCUGAUAUUCAAAUGCUGAUGGAUUUUUUUGGAUUUCAUAAAAUGAUGGAUUUUGUGGCAUUCUUCAGUGUAUUUUAAGUUUUUUGAAAUCUCAUCAAAUUCAACAGGAUUUUGAAGUAUUGUGCUUAUAUCCUAUAAACUCUGCGACAUUUUAUCAAAAAUCCGCACAAAAUCAAAAUCACAUACAAUCCAUUAAAAUCCAUUUGACUAAAAACAAUACAUCAAAAUAAUCGAAUACACCCCGUUAAUCUUUUUGAUAAUGAGUCAUAGAUUUCGGCAACUUGUUCGAAUAUAAUAAGAAAACAAGUUGAUUCGGACUUUCAAGACUCGAUAAUAUGACACCAUGGUGCUUGGAUCUGGUCUAACUCACAUUACUAAACCUCAAACCCUUCUAUUCUUCUUUAUAUAUAACUCCAUUUCUCCCCCACUUCUUCUACCAAUCAUUUUCUCAUUUAUCAAACCUCUCAAAACACUACUUAUUCCCAACCUCGCACGAAUCUCUCCUCAAACCUCUCCCCCGAAUAUCGAAAAAAUCUCGAAAAUUCGAUAAAUUUUGUAACAUGUUGAGCUCACUAGUCUGCGGAAGCGGGAGUUUCCAAGACGAAGAUGAUAUUGAACUUUCGGAGCUGCUCAGAUCAUGCUCCUCGUCCGCCAAAAAAACGUCGAAAAUUCUGGGAACCAGGCACAGCUUCAGCUCGAAAAGUAAGGACUCGAAGAACCCGUAUGCGGAUCGAGGGCUGGAUAAAUUUAGUGCACUUUUAGCGGAGCUGGAUUCGAAGAGACAGAAGAUUUACACUCAGAAAGGCUCUGAAGAUAUUUCUCUGCUCGGCUUUGCUUAUUCGAAUUCUUCGGAUUACAAGCCUAUUGUCGUUAGAGUGCGAGACAAGAAACCAAUCAAAACAUUGAUCAAAGCACCAGUGAAGCUGGCUGAUCGGAGUGAUUCUCAAGUUUCGAAAAAUGUUGUCGAAAAAUCUGAUUAUGAUUUGAAGCAAACGAGAGCAGAAUCGAAUCGUGUUGAUCAGAAAAAGGCGAGUCCCGAGAAAUUCAGACACGUGAGUGUCGAGUAUCUGACACGGCCUUCUUAUUAUGUUCCGGUGAUCAUAAUCUUGAUUCUGUUGUUCUUGGCUAUUUUUGGAAAGUCUUUUGCGAUUUUGUGUGUUUGUAUAGGAUGGUACAU
rnacentral:lncRNA from 1 species